UGGGGAAUAUUGCACAAUGGGCGCAAGCCUGAUGCAGCCAUGCCGCGUGUGUGAAGAAGGCCUUCGGGUUGUAAAGUACUUUCAGUCGGGAGGAAGGUGGUAAGGUUAAUAACCUUAUCAAUUGACGUUACCGACAGAAGAAGCACCGGCUAACUCCGUGCCAGCAGCCGCGGUAAUACGGAGGGUGCAAGCGUUAUUCGGAAUUACUGGGCGUAAAGCGCACGCAGGCGGUUGAUUGAGUCAGAUGUGAAAUCCCCGGGCUUAACCCGGGAAUUGCAUCUGAUACUGGUCAGCUAGAGUCUUGUAGAGGGGGGUAGAAUUCCAUGUGUAGCGGUGAAAUGCGUAGAGAUGUGGAGGAAUACCGGUGGCGAAGGCGGCCCCCUGGACAAAGACUGACGCUCAGGUGCGAAAGCGUGGGGAGCAAACAGG
rnacentral:rRNA from 1 species